rnacentral:rRNA from 1 species
GCUGGUGACCAGCGCGACGGGGCCACACCCGUUCCCAUCCCGAACACGGUCGUUAAGCCCGUCAGCGUCGAUGGUACUUGGAGGGAGACCUCCUGGGAGAGUAGACCGUCGCCAGCC